rnacentral:lncRNA from 1 species
UCACGCGUUUGAGGUUUCAGUCCUUGAUGGGCUGGGCUGGCUCCAUUGAUUUUGAUUUUAACCCAUGGACUGGCAGAAACUAUGGUGGGUGGGGUGAAGGAAAGCUGCUUGUGGCAGGCAGGAAGCAGGGUGAAUUUCCACAAGUUGCAGAGGAAGAGGCCAGAGAACAUAGGUCGUCCCUAAAUUCAUGCCCCAUUAUCUUAUCUAAUCCCUUCAACCAGGCGCCACCCGUUUUUGUCACCAUUAAAACGAUCAGAUUAUUUCAGUGGAUUAAUUCACUGAUGAAGUUAGAGCCCUCCUGAUCAAGUCUUUUGUGGAAAUCCCCACAGAGACUCAGGAGAAUGUUUUACUAACAGCCUAGGUAUUUCUCAGUCCAAGAUUAGCGAUUACAGUAGGAUUUAACCAUAUUAAAGCAGUCUUCAGUCUUUCAAUUUAACAUUUUGGGGAGCUAGUCAAAACAUACAGCCCAACUUCUAUAAAGAUAAGAUCCUUUGUCUAAAUAUUACAGAAAAGAGUAGGUAUGAGACCACCAGCAUUCCCGCCAAGCUGACAGCUUUGGUGUCUGGUGAGAAGCUGUUGAAGUAGAUUUAAUGGAGUGAUGAGAAAAGUUGAUUGCAAGUACUUGGUGUGAUCUACAUUUUGUAUUUUCAUUUUAGGAAAUGGUUUUCUAUGGCAAGCUUUGUUUUCUUUGAAACCUGACAGCAGUUUUUGAAUUCAAGCUCUGAAUUCUAAGAUCUUGGCCUAUUUUACUGUGUCUUGUAACAAAAAUGACAUAAUUUCCUCGCUCAGGGGCCAUACUAAUCAUCUCUGUGUCGUUCCAAUUUUAGUGUAUGUGCUACCAAAAUGAGCACGGUGUAAUUUCCUAUAACAUCUCUUUGCUGCCUUUUCUGGAAAACCCAAACUACCUGCCUGACUAUUCUUUGCCUCCCUUUCUUCCCCUUUCUUUUCUCUCCUCCCUUCCUUCCCCUUCCAUCCCUUUUCUUCCUUCUCAUUGUUUUUUUGAGACAGGGAAUUGCUGUGUAGUCCAGUCUGCCCUCAAACUCACAGUUCUUCCUCUGCCACCCAACUACUGAUUUAUACUCUCGAUUGCUAUCAUUUAGCCGGCCUUGAUAGAUGAAAUGAGUCACAGUUUCAUCAAAACUCCACCUGAAACAACCAAAUAAAAGAAAAUGAAUAAUUAAAAGAAAUAGCCACACUUGUUAAGAUGAUCACUAUUCACUAUGAAUAGAAUACCUUGACCUACACAAAACUUUCAGAACCAGAGUAAGCAAGACCAUCAAACUGAUACUCUACUCGUUGACAAAUUUUAUGAUAUAUCUUAAGGUAUACAAAUACAGAGAUACGUUUUUAUGGUUUAUAUCUAGAUGUCACCCAAAGAUUCAUGAGCUAGUAUACGGGGCUUUUUGGAGGUGACUGGAUCAUGAGGCACUGUAUUCACUGGUGGAUUAGUCCAGCCAUGAAUUUAUAACUAAAUGUGCUGUUAGGAGGUGGGCCUGAUCUAAGAGGUG